UGUCUUCAGGGCAGGGUGAGAUUCCCGACCGGCGGUGCUUUGUGUCGCAACAAAGCGAAAAGUCCGCGAGCUACGUGAAGUAGUUGACCUAGUGCGAUUCUAGGACCGACAGUAUAGUCUGGAUGGGAGAAGAC
rnacentral:ncRNA from 1 species